GACGAACGCUGGCGGCGUGCUUAACACAUGCAAGUCGAACGGAAAGGCCCUGCUUUUGUGGGGUGCUCGAGUGGCGAACGGGUGAGUAACACGUGAGUAACCUGCCCUUGACUUUGGGAUAACUUCAGGAAACUGGGGCUAAUACCGGAUAGGAGCUCCUGCUGCAUGGUGGGGGUUGGAAAGUUUCGGCGGUUGGGGAUGGACUCGCGGCUUAUCAGCUUGUUGGUGGGGUAGUGGCUUACCAAGGCUUUGACGGGUAGCCGGCCCGAGAGGGUGACCGGCCACAUUGGGACUGAGAUACGGCCCAGACUCCUACGGGAGGCAGCAGUGGGGAAUAUUGCACAAUGGGCGGAAGCCUGAUGCAGCAACGCCGCGUGCGGGAUGACGGCCUUCGGGUUGUAAACCGCCUUCGCCUGUGACGAAGCGUGAGUGACGGUAAUGGGUAAAGAAGCACCGGCUAACUACGUG
rnacentral:rRNA from 1 species